CGGGGCGUAGCGCAGCCCGGUAGCGCACUCCCUUGGGGUGGGAGUGGUCGAAGGUUCAAAUCCUUUCGCCCCGACCA
rnacentral:tRNA from 8 species